GUCGGCUCAGGUUCUCCUGGGUUCUACCAGUCAGUCUGCUCAGGUUCUCCAGGGUUCUACCAGUCAGUCGGCUCAGGUUCUCCUGGGUUCUACCAGUCAGUCGGCUCAGGUUCUCCAGGGUUCUACCAGUCAGUCGGCUCAGGUUCUCCUGGGUUCUACCAGUCAGUCGGCUCAGGUUCUCCAGGGUUCUACCAGUCAGUAGGCUCACGUUCUC